rnacentral:rRNA from 1 species
AGCAGCCGCGGUAAUUCCAGCUCCAAUAGCGUAUAUUAAAGUUGUUGCAGUUAAAAAGCUCGUAGUUGAAUUUCGGGGUCAGUAGGUUGGUCGUGCCACUGGUAUGUACUGGUCUCACUGAUUCCUCCUUCCUGAUGAGCCGUAAUGCCAUUAAUUUGGUGUUGCGAGGAAUCUGGACUGUUACUUUGAAAAAAUUAGAGUGUUUAAAGCAGGCUAACGCUUGAAUACAUUAGCAUGGAAUAAUGGAAUAGGACGUUCGAUCCUAUUUUGUUGGUUUCUAGGAUUGACGUAAUGAUUAAUAGGGAUAGUUGGGGGCAUUAGUAUUCAAUUGUCAGAGUGAAAUUCUUGGAUUUAUUGAAGACUAACUACUGCGAAAGCAUUUGCCAAGGAUGUUUUCUAUUAAUUCAAGAACGAAAGUUAGGGGAUCGAAGACGAUCAGAUACCGUCGUAGUACUUAACCAUAAACUAAUGCCGACUAGGGAUCGGAUGAUGUUAUUUUUAAUGACU